AUGGGAAGGGGACCUGCUCGGGGUGGUGGAACCGGUCAGAUCCAUGCUGGCCGGCCGGAUUUGGCGGUGGGGCAGCCAGCGGCGGGGCUGAGCGAUGCGGCGGCGGUGUCUGGUAGUGGUGGCAGCGGCGUCGAGAAUUGGCAGCGGCGGAGGAAACCACCAGAUCCGCGCCUGGAUCUGGCGGGACAGCAACCGGCGGCAAUGUCUGGUGGCGGGGAUGGCGAGGGCGGCGAGGUGAUGGCAGCGGUGAGCGCCCGGAGGUCUGGCGGUCCUGGUGACGAGUUCGUGGCGACGGCAGUGCUGGCUACCACGACAAGCCGUCUUCAUCGUGUGCCGCUGGAGCUCGACGAUGGCGAGAAGGUGCGGGAGGAUGGCGAGAUAGCGGCGGGGAUGGAAGGGUAGCAGCGGCUGC
rnacentral:lncRNA from 1 species